rnacentral:rRNA from 1 species
GACGAACGCUGGCGGCGUGCUUAACACAUGCAAGUCGAACGAUGAAGCGGUGCUUGCACCGUGGAUUAGUGGCGAACGGGUGAGUAAUACGUGAGUGACCUACCUUUGACUCUGGGAUAAGCCUGGGAAACUGGGUCUAAUACCGGAUACGACCAAUCUCUGCAUGGGGUGUUGGUGGAAAGCGUUAUGGAGUGGUUUUAGAUGGGCUCACGGCCUAUCAGCUUGUUGGUGAGGUAAUGGCUUACCAAGGCGACGACGGGUAGCCGGCCUGAGAGGGUGACCGGCCACACUGGGACUGAGACACGGCCCAGACUCCUACGGGAGGCAGCAGUGGGGAAUAUUGCACAAUGGGCGCAAGCCUGAUGCAGCGACGCCGCGUGAGGGAUGACGGCCUUCGGGUUGUAAACCUCCGUUAGCAUCGAAGAAGCGAAAGUGACGGUAGGUGCAGAGAAAGCGCCGGCUAACUACGUG